CGCGUAGGCGGUUUGGUCAGUUGGAUGUGAAAGCCCAGGGCUUAACCUUGGAAUUGCAUUCAAUACUGCCAGGCUAGAGUACGGUAGAGGGGGGUAGAAUUCCACGUGUAGCGGUGAAAUGCGUAGAGAUGUGGAGGAAUACCAGUGGCGAAGGCGGCCCCCCUGGAUCGAUACUGACGCUGAGGUGCGAAAGCGUGGGGAGCAAACA
rnacentral:rRNA from 1 species